GAUGAAGAACGGAGCGAAAUGCGAUAAGUAAUGUGAAUUGCAGAAUUCAGUGAAUCAUCGAAUCUUUGAACGCACAUUGCGCCCCUUGGUAUUCCGAGGGGCAUGCCUGUUCGAGCGUCAUUAUAACCCCUCAAGCUCAGCUAGGUGUUGGGGCCUGCUGCACUGGCAGCCCUUAAAAUCAGUGGCGGCGCCAUCUGGCUCUAAGCGUAGUAAUUCUUCUCGCUAUGGAGUCCUGGUGGAUGCUUGCCAUCAACCCCCAAUUUUUCUAUGGUUGACCUCGGAUCAGGUAGGGAUACCCGCUGAACUUAAGCAUAUCAAUAAGCGGAGGA
rnacentral:misc_RNA from 1 species